AUGACUCAUUUUCUUAUUCAAAAAUCAAGUAAGUUUCAAAUGGAAUUGCAAAAUUUAUUACAAGUCAUUACCAAUUUUGUUCUUAAUUCAAGCUUAAAAGUUCUACGUGUGAAUCAAAUUCAUCCUAGAUUAACUCUACAAAGAAUGAAAAUUACAAGAGAAUUCCAAUUCUUGAUGUCUUCUAAAAGCUUCUUGAAUACAUUUCUUUUGAAGCUCCGAGAACUCUUGACGAUGUUAUUUCCUCUUCUUCUUUCCUUGCCGUCCUCAUCAUUGUUCCCACAC